AGGCAAAGUGGGGCCUAAACAGUUUACCAACCAAAUAGGUUUAUGCCUUAGUUUGCGAUGAGUACUUGUGCCAUGGUGAGAUCGGGUUUGUCAAUAGUGGAAAUAGUCUGUUUCUAUAUCUGCCCUCUACACAUUCGAUAAAAUGCCUGAAAAGGAUGUUUCUUGUUAAUGGUUGUUGCUAAUUGAAGCCAUGCAUCAGUCCAACUGAGGAUCCUAACUAGCCUUGAGCAAAUAUGAAUAAAUAAAUAGUUUUGUAUUGGUUGGAAAUGAAUUUCCAUUGUACUCAUAAGGCUAUUCAAGUGGUUUGCUCACUUGCACAAAAUCAUUUACAACUUAAACCAUUUACCACCAUCCAAACAACCACUUAGGUAUUGAUUUGUUUCAAAUUUUCAGAUAGUUGGCACGGAAACCUACCCGUCUUGUCAGGUUUUGUAGAUGCCAGUUUGUUAGAAUGCAAUCCUUUAUCUAGACCCCCGUUGGUUCCAAAGCCUAUUUUUAAUUGUAGGUUUCAAUUUGAAUCUUCAUUUUUGGCUUUUAGUUAUGGAAAUUGUUAAUACCUGUUGUUAAAACCUCGGUUUUAGAAGUCUUACAAUUUCAUGUCUGCAUUUUGUUUGCUGAUUCUCACUAUAUUUUAGCUUCUCUCUUCUUCUUUUUUCCGCUUUCGUGAGGCAGAUUUCCAGAUCUUGCAGACCUUGAACAUGUUAACUUACUUGAAUUUCUCUGUUUUGUUCUUUACAUAAUUUCCUGUAUCAGUUGUGCAAAGGAGCUGCUCAUUGUCACAGCCAUGGAGUGCUACACAGGUUACCUUUUUGUUGGUUAUUCACUGAAGAAAUGUGACGGGUCAAGAAUUUGGUGGGAUGGAUUGUGCAGUUUUAACUGUAAAUAUCAGCUGGAAUCCUUGGAAUAUUUGGUCAGGAGGUUGUUGAACUUCCUUUGGUUACUAUAAGUAAAGAAAUCCAAAGAACGGUAAGGCAUUCAACUUAAAAAAGAAAAGUUUAUUACGAUGAACUUAGUAAAGCCUUUAAAUAAGCUGAUAUAUCAGUAAAGAUACACAUUGCCACAUAGAUGAUGUUUUUCUGAGGUUUGCUAAGCCCCAUGUGUGUGCAGGCAUACCAUGUACAAGCUACAAGCCUACAACAUCUGCCAUCAUGGCAGGCAGGUGGACUGUUAGAACAGGUGGAUAGCUUAGAAAAAUUCUGCAAUUUUUUAGUCAUAUAUCUGUUUCAUAAUCUGUGGCUCACUUCUUUAUUGGAUUGACCAGAUUCUUUGACUGUGGAUGUCAACAUAAUGGGACCCUUGUGAUGGAUGGUCCGAUCUCGUACCUUUAUGCAACCAUUCAGACUUGUGUAGGCUUAGCGAAGCUCAUUUUUUCUUGUAAUAUGGCUUUUCUUUCUUUUUUUCAUUCUUUUUUCUUCUUCUUCUGCCCCACUCUCGCCCAUGUCUCCAAUGAUAGUCCAAGUACUGAACAAUCAACUCCUUGUGUGUAACUGAAACAUUUCAAGCUCUAUCCUCAUUUAUUUAGAGCUUCUCUUCACAUUGCUUUUGACCUCAUUCUAUCAGAUUCUUUCUGCUGUUUUGUUAUCAUACAACCUACUAAUUGGUGGUGCAUGGUAUUUCAGUGAUGAAAGAAGGUGUAAAGUUCUCAACCAGAGGUGAUAUUGGCAGUGCAAAUAUAGUAUGCAGGCAGAACAACACUGUAGACAAGGUCUUGGCUAUAGAGGAGCUCUUCAAGCACAGGGUGACAAAUGUUUGGUUCAUGGGAAUGGGUUAGCUAAUGCUGAAUCCGAAGUCAGUUUUGGAAGCACAUAGGUGCUUGAAUAAGAAAUUCGAUAGUUCCUGAAUUGCAAACUUAUGGUGGUUGCCGGAUGCAGUUGAUCGACCUGCAUGGCUUGCAUUUGAGUGAAGCCAUACAUGUGUUGAAGCAUGGCCUGAAAGUCUUGAGGAGCUUGGGUAGGUCCACCAGGCAACGGCUACAGGUCAUGAUAUGUUGUUACCUGUUGGAAGAAGAGUGCCUUGACCACACAGCCGUAGCCGGGGAUGCUGCAAGUUGUGAUAUAUUGACACUGUAACAUGUACAAAAUUCCAAACCUGGGUGGUAAGGAAGAGGAA